UACGAUUAUAUAGCGUUGAAACACCGGUUCCCGUACGAUCACCGAAGUUAAGCAACGUCGAGCCUGGUCCGUACCUAGAUGAGUGACCACUUGGGAAUACCAGGUGCUGUAAG
rnacentral:rRNA from 1 species